UACGAAGGGAGCUAGCGUUGUUCGGAAUCACUGGGCGUAAAGCGCACGUAGGCGGAUGUGUCAGUCAGGGGUGAAAUCCCGGAGCUCAACUUCGGAACUGCCUCUGAUACAGCACGUCUUGAGUCCGAGAGAGGUGGGUGGAAUUCCUAGUGUAGAGGUGAAAUUCGUAGAUAUUAGGAAGAACACCAGUGGCGAAGGCGGGUCUCUGGACAGUUCCUGACACUGAGACACGAAGGCCAGGGGAGCAAACGGG
rnacentral:rRNA from 1 species